GGGAAGGCGGAAGCGGGGUCGGUGCGGAGAUGGCCGGUGCGGGCUGGGCCCCGCCGCGCCUGGACGAGUUCAUCCUCACUGAACGCCUCGGUGCCGGCACCUACGCCACCGUCUACAAGGCCUACAGGAAGAGGGAUGCACGUGAGGUGGUGGCCAUCAAGUGUGUGAGCAAGAGGAGCCUCAACCGGGUGUCGGUGGAGAACCUGCUGACAGAGAUUGAGAUCCUGAAGACCAUCCGCCACCCACACAUCGUGGAGCUCAAGGACUUCCAGUGGGACAGUGACCACAUCUACCUGAUCAUGGAGUUCUGUGCUGGGGGGGACCUCUCCCGCUUCAUCCGGAUGCGCAGGAUCCUCCCCGAGAAGGUGGCACGCAUCUUCCUGCAGCAGCUUGCCUGCGCCCUGAAGUUCCUCCACGACUGCAACAUCUCCCACCUGGACCUCAAGCCACAGAACAUCCUCCUGAGUGCCCUGGAGAACCCCCAGCUGAAGCUGGCAGAUUUUGGGUUUGCGCAGCACAUGUCGCCAUGGGAUGAGAAACACGUUCUGCGGGGCUCCCCACUCUACAUGGCCCCUGAGAUGGUGUGCCGCCAGCAGUACGAUGCCCGGGUGGACUUGUGGUCCGUGGGUGUCAUCCUUUAUGAAGCACUUUUCGGAAGGCCACCCUUCGCCUCCCGCUCCUUUGCUGAGCUGGAGGAGAAGAUCCGCAGCACCCAGGCUGUCGAGCUGCCCAGCCGGCCCCUGCUCUCCCCGGAGUGCCGGGAUCUUUUACGACAGCUCUUGGAGAGGGAUCCGAUGAAACGUAUCUCUUUUGAGCACUUCUUUGCCCACCCUUUUGUGGAUAUGGAGCACAUCCCCAGCCCUGAGAGCCUCUGCAAGGCGACUGACCUGGUGGUGGAGGCAGUGAAGAAGGAUCAGGAAGGGGACGCCUCCGCUGCCCUCUCACUCUACUGCAAAGCCCUGGAGUAUUUUGUGCCAGCUCUGCACUAUGAAAGUGAUGCUCGCCGGAAAGAAGCCAUCCGUGCCAAGGUGGGGCAAUACAUCUCCCGAGCAGAGGAGCUGAAGGCAUUGGUCACCUCCAGCAGCAAGAACCUCCUGCAGCAAGAGAACCCGUCCAGAGCGCUCCUUAAAGAGAUGGCCAAGGACAAGCCUCGGCUCUGCACUGCGCUGGAAAUGGCUUCUGCUGCCAUUGCUAAGGAGGAGGAAGGCAAAGAUGACAGUGACACCCUGGAGCUCUACCAGCAGAGCCUGGGGGAGCUGCUGCUCCUCCUGGCUGCGGAACCUGCAGGCAGGCGACGGGAGCUGCUCCACGCAGAGGGGCUUUCCUCUCUUUCUGCCAGAUCCAGAACCUGAUGGCCCGAGCUGAGUACCUGAAAGAUCAGAUGAAGAUGCGGGAGGCGCAGUCUAUGGGCAAGGAGGCACUGGCAGAGCCUGUCCGGAGCACCUGUACCUUGCAGUGAUGACAGGAGCCGGCCGGCAGGAUGCUGCUCACUGCCCUGGCACUGCCAUGCAAAGAGAUGCCGUCAGCGGUGGGGAGGGAAGACAAGGCUUUCAUCCUGACUGCAUCGGGACAACCACCUCAGGGGUUCACCCUUGGGCUUCCACCCCCAGAGGGUCCCACAGGUGGGUCCGCAGGGCCAUCUGCCUCUCUCCCUGGGUGCUGGCAUCAACUCUUUCCUGACAGGCAGAGUUCCCUCCCAGCCCUGCCUCGACUGUCUGCUGCCACAGCCUCCCCUGACCAUGGCGGGCAGGUUAUUCCACUCUAAUUCCCUCCCCUGGCUCCAUAGGACUAGGUAUUUUUAUCCUGGCGCCAGGCUCCGGCAGAAUAUCCCCCCUGCCAAUCACAUAUGUCUCUUGCCUUUUCGGCUGGAUGUUUCUUCCACCUCCCAUAUUCUUCUGGGGGAACCCUGAGCAUAUGCACAGCCCAGACCCACAGAACCAUGCUGGUAGCUCCAGGCUGUUGGUAACGGCAGCAGGCAGGGGGUUGGGGGUGCUUCCUGCGCCUGCCCUCUCCUGUGCCUUUCUCGCCCAGCAACUACCUCUCUGCACCCACCGUCGCCCGCCCAGCCUGGAGCACCCAGUUGCACUGUCCCAGCCCAGCCGUACCUCCCUUUCACCGCUGGAGCAUUGAGGUCAAGGCUUUUUCUUCCUAAACCUGCCUGUACUGGAGUCUGGCAGGUGCUGAUUGUAUUCAUCGUUUGUGUCAUGAGGUGUUACCGGUGCUCAGCAGGGACAACUGAUUGUGCGUGCUCCUCCAUGGGUAUAGUCGUCAAAUAAAACAGAUGAGCAGAAAUCAAUCACCUUCAGGGACAGAGUCAUGUGGCUGAAAACAGCGAUACUUCCCUGAAGGCAGAGCCUGGGCAUCCUGUCUGCUCUGCUUCUCAGGGCUCUGACAACCUGAAUAUCCAAAUUAUAUUCCCAGGAGCCUCCCCAGCCCUCCGGAGGUCAUGUAUCUGGGGUGGGGAGGUCUGCCUGCCCUGCAAAGCAAGGGACUUGUCUCAAAAUCUGCUGUAUUUCAAGGGAAUGUAAUUUAUUGUCUUUAAUAAACACUUACUUUGAUUUCUCCAA